CCCCAGAUGUUGCUGAACUACAACUCCCAUGAAUCCCUGGCUACCUUUUUAAUUGAAAGAAUCAUGGGAGUUGUAGUUCAGCAACAUCUGGGG